rnacentral:rRNA from 1 species
GAUGAACGCUGGCGGCGUGCCUAAUACAUGCAAGUCGAGCGAACAGACGAGGAGCUUGCUCCUCUGACGUUAGCGGCGGACGGGUGAGUAACACGUGGAUAACCUACCUAUAAGACUGGGAUAACUUCGGGAAACCGGAGCUAAUACCGGAUAAUAUAUUGAACCGCAUGGUUCAAUAGUGAAAGACGGUUUUGCUGUCACUUAUAGAUGGAUCCGCGCCGCAUUAGCUAGUUGGUAAGGUAACGGCUUACCAAGGCAACGAUGCGUAGCCGACCUGAGAGUGUGAUCGGCCACACUGAAACUGAGACACGGUCCAGACACCGACGGGAGGCAGCAGUAGGGAAUCUUCCGCAAUGGGCGAAAGCCUGACGGAGCAACGCCGCGUGAGUGAUGAAGGUCUGCGGAUCGUAAAACGCUGUUAUUAGGGAAGAACAAAUGUGUAAGUAACUAUGCACGUCUUGACGGUACCUAAUCAGAAAGCCACGGCUAACUACGU